CUAUACAUGCACGUCGAACGAAGUAGCAAUACUUAGUGGCAGACGGGUGAGUAACAUGUAGGUAUCUUCCCAUUGGUAAGGAAUAACACGAGGAAACUUGUGCUAAUACCUCAUAAGUCUUUACGGAGAAAGCUUUAUGCGCCGAUGGAUGAGCCUGCACUUGAUUAGUUUGUUGGUAGGGUAAUGGCCUACCAAGACAAUGAUCAAUAGCUGAUUUGAGAGGAUGAUCAGCCACAUUGGGACUGAGACACGGCCCAAACUCCUACGGGAGGCAGCAGUAGGGAAUCUUGCACAAUGGGGGAAACCCUGAUGCAGCGAUGCCGCGUGAGUGAAGAAGGCCUUUGGGUUGUAAAGCUCUUUCGUCGGGGAAGAAAAUGACUGUACCCGAAUAAGAAGGUCCGGCUAACUUCGUGCCAGCAGCCGCGGUAAUACGAAGGGACCUAGCGUAGUUCGGAAUUACUGGGCUUAAAGAGUUCGUAGGUGGUUAAAAAAGUUGGUGGUGAAAUCCCAGAGCUUAACUCUGGAACUGCCAUCAAAACUUUUUAGCUAGAGUAUGAUAGAGGAAAGCAGAAUUUCUAGUGUAGAGGUGAAAUUCGUAGAUAUUAGAAAGAAUACCGAUUGCGAAGGCAGCUUUCUGGAUCAUUACUGACACUGAGGAACGAAAGCAUGGGUAGCGAAGAGGAUUAGAUACCCUCGUAGUCCAUGCCGUAAACGAUGUGUGUUAGACGUUGGAAAUUUAUUUUCUGUGUCGCAGCGAAAGCAAUAAACACACCGCCUGGGGAGUACGACCGCAAGGUUAAAACUCAAAUGAAUUGAC
rnacentral:rRNA from 1 species